UACGUAGGGUGCGAGCUUUGUCCGGAAUUAUUGGGCGUAAAGAGCUCGUAGGCGGUUUGUCGCGUCGACUGUGAAAACCCGAGGCUUAACCUCGGGCCUGCAGUCGAUACGGGCAGACUAGAGUUCGGUAGGGGAGACUGGAAUUCCUGGUGUAGCGGUGAAAUGCGCAGAUAUCAGGAGGAACACCGGUGGCGAAAGCGGGUCUCUGGGCCGAUACUGACGCUGAGGAGCGAAAGCGUGGGGAGCGAACAGG
rnacentral:rRNA from 1 species